UACGUAGGGGACAAGCGUUGUCCGGAUUUACUGGGCGUAAAGGGCACGCAGGCGGUUUUUUAAGUCAGAUGUGAAAGGUACCGGCUCAACCGGUGACAUGCAUUUGAAACUGAAAGACUUGAGUAUUGGAGAGGCAAGUGGAAUUCCUAGUGUAGCGGUGAAAUGCGUAGAUAUUAGGAGGAACACCGGUGGCGAAGGCGGCUUGCUGGACAAAUACUGACGCUGAGGUGCGAAAGCGUCAGUAUUUGUC
rnacentral:rRNA from 1 species